rnacentral:rRNA from 2 species
GGGUUGUGAGGUUAAGCGACUAAGCGUACACGGUGGAUGCCCUGGCAGUCAGAGGCGAUGAAGGGCGUGCUAAUCUGCGAUAAGCGCCGGUAAGGUGAUAUGAACCGUUAUAACCGGCGAUACCCGAAUGGGGAAACCCAGUGUGAUUCGUCACACUAUCAUUAACUGAAUCCAUAGGUUAAUGAGGCGAACCGGGGGAACUGAAACAUCUAAGUACCCCGAGGAAAAGAAAUCAACCGAGAUUCCCCCAGUAGCGGCGAGCGAACGGGGAGGAGCCCAGAGCCUGAAUCAGCAUGUGUGUUAGUGGAAGCGUCUGGAAAGGCGCGCGAUACAGGGUGACAGCCCCGUACACAAAAGCGCAUAUGCUGUGAGCUCGAUGAGUAGGGCGGGACACGUGGUAUCCUGUCUGAAUAUGGGGGGACCAUCCUCCAAGGCUAAAUACUCCUGACUGACCGAUAGUGAACCAGUACCGUGAGGGAAAGGCGAAAAGAACCCCGGCGAGGGGAGUGAAAAAGAACCUGAAACCGUGUACGUACAAGCAGUGGGAGCCCCACCACUAAGCCAGUGGUGAACUCCACAUACGCAUCCUUUGCUGAGGAGACGGUUAACGGAGCGAAAGCGACGUUCAACCUCAAAAGAAGCAGAGGGGGCUUAGUGGUGGGGUGACUGCGUACCUUUUGUAUAAUGGGUCAGCGACUUAUAUUCUGUAGCAAGGUUAACUGUAUAGGGGAGCCGGAGGGAAACCGAGUCUUAACCGGGCGUUAAGUUGCAGGGUAUAGACCCGAAACCCGGUGAUCUAGCCAUGGGCAGGUUGAAGGUUGGGUAACACUAACUGGAGGACCGAACCGACUAAUGUUGAAAAAUUAGCGGAUGACCUGUGGCUGGGGGUGAAAGGCCAAUCAAACCGGGAGAUAGCUGGUUCUCCCCGAAAGCUAUUUAGGUAGCGCCUCGUGAAUUCAUCUCCGGGGGUAGAGCACUGUUUCGGCUAGGGGGCCAUCCCGGCUUACCAACCCGAUGCAAACUGCGAAUACCGGAGAAUGUUAUCACGGGAGACACACGGCGGGUGCUAAUGUCCGUCGUGAAGAGGGAAACAACCCAGACCGCCAGCUAAGGUCCCAAAGUCAUGGUUAAGUGGGAAACGAUGUGGGAAGGCCCAGACAGCCAGGAUGUUGGCUUAGAAGCAGCCAUCAUUUAAAGAAAGCGUAAUAGCUCACUGGUCGAGUCGGCCUGCGCGGAAGAUGUAACGGGGCUAAACCAUGCACCGAAGCUGCGGCAGCGACACCGUGUGUUGUUGGGUAGGGGAGCGUUCUGUAAGCCUGUGAAGGUGUGCUGUGAGGCAUGCUGGAGGUAUCAGAAGUGCGAAUGCUGACAUAAGUAACGAUAAAGCGGGUGAAAAGCCCGCUCGCCGGAAGACCAAGGGUUCCUGUCCAACGUUAAUCGGGGCAGGGUGAGUCGACCCCUAAGGCGAGGCCGAAAGGCGUAGUCGAUGGGAAACGGGUUAAUAUUCCCGUACUUGGUGUUACUGCGAAGGGGGGACGGAGAAGGCUAUGUUGGCCGGGCGACGGUUGUCCCGGUUUAAGCGUGUAGGUAUGUGUUCCAGGUAAAUCCGGUUCACUUUAACACUGAGGCGUGACGACGAGGCACUACGGUGCUGAAGCAACAAAUGCCCUGCUUCCAGGAAAAGCCUCUAAGCAUCAGGUAACAUCAAAUCG